rnacentral:tRNA from 2 species
GUCUGGGUGGUGUAGUCGGUUAUCACGCUAGUCUCACACACUAGAGGUCUCAGACAUUAUAAUUUUGAUUUUGUGUUAUGCUGAAUA